GCAAAGGUACCUCGGUGGUGUAGUGGUAGCACGCCUCUCCGGUAUGGAUGAAACGAGGGUUCGACUCCGUCUAAGAUCGUGCUUUUGCU